AUUGAACGCUGGCGGCAUGCUUUACACAUGCAAGUCGAACGGCAGCACGGGUGCUUGCACCUGGUGGCGAGUGGCGAACGGGUGAGUAACACAUCGGAACAUGCCUAGUUGUGGGGGACAACUACUCGAAAGAGUAGCUAAUACCGCAUGAUAUCUAAGGAUGAAAGCAGGGGGACCCGUUUUCGGGGGUCCGUUGUGCAACUAGAGUGGCCGAUGGCAG
rnacentral:rRNA from 1 species